GGUGAACGCUGGCGGCGUGCCUAAGACAUGCAAGUCGAGCGGGCCGCGGGGUUUUACUCCGUGGUCAGCGGCGGACGGGUGAUUAACGCGUGGUUGACCUACCCGGCAGAGGGUUACAACCCGUUGAAACUCGUGCUAAUCCCCCAUGUUGACCCGCCCCUUGGGGUGUGUCCAAAGGGCUUUUUCCGCUUCCGGAUGGUCCCGUGGCCCCUCAGCUAGUUGGUGGUGUAAUGGUCCACCAACGCGACGAGGGGUAGCCGGCCUGAGGGGGUGGUAGGCCAAAGGGGCACUGAGACACGGGCACAACGCCUAGGGGAGGAAGCAGGUAAGAAGCUGCCGAAAUGGGCGCAAGCGUGACGGAGCGACGCAGCUUGGAGGAAGAAGGCAUUAGGGGUGUAAACUCGUGAACCCGGGACGAAACCGACGAAGAGGGGACGGACGGAACCGGGGUAAUAGCGCCGGCCAACUACGUG
rnacentral:rRNA from 1 species